CAGACACAAUUAAACUGCUAGGCUGCCCGCAAACUGUGACGCUUUUUCGCCCUUAAAAUGGAGGAUUUGAUUUCUAAAAUAAGGAUUUUUUUUCAAGACUGGACUUUCAAUCAAAGCAAGAAGUCAUUAAAACUGGGAGCCCAACGCCAAAGCUGCCAUAUUUGAUUCAAAGGCGUGUGGUCCGAGGACAGAAAAUAACGUGUUCACUUCAAAAGGAUUGGUAUACUGGAAAAGAAAGGCUUUGCGGCUGUGCUACAAAAAAAAAAAAAAAACUCUUUAAUGCUUUCCCUGACUUUUAUUCUUAACGAGUGACCCGAGUAUAUCCAAUUUGGGUCCAAACGGGAUAUACGGAGGUGGCGACUUGAGAUAGGCUCCAACACCCUCAGCAACCCCGAAAGGGACAAGCGGUAGAAAAUGGAUGAGAUGGGAUGGAUCUGAAAAACCUGCCAGGAAGCCUUCGAAAAACAUGAACGCUCAUCUGCCCACAUUCAAGGUCACGUAUGGCUCUAAAUGAGACUCAAUAUCAGCAUCCACAAUGCCAAUGUGAAGGAACAUGGUGAGAUAUUAAAAGAGCUGAUAAACACCACUUGCUUUUGGGGUAAACAGGAGCUUGCAUUUGGUGGCAAUUAUCUCAAUUGAGAAAGAGAGACUUUUACAACUCAAAAGAAAAAAAAUAGAAAAAGGAGGACUCCUACAACAAAGUCGUGGAGAUCGUCGUCCAGAAGGAAAGGCGAAUGGACUUCAUUUACAAGUAAAGGCAGAGGAAGAUAGCGGGCUGACUGUAAUCAACCAAGAGGAUGGACAGCGUUUCCAUGGAGAGGAGGAGCAGGAGGAAGAAAAAGAAGCAGGGAGCAUCAACUCCCUCCGAUAAAUGAGGAUGAAAACAACCCUGAUGUUUAACUGGCCAGAGACUCCAAGGCAGUAAACAUGGUGUCAGGUGUUUCAGACUCUUCCAGCUGAGAUUUGCCAUAAAUCAAAGGUGGGACGAAGUCUUUAUGAUUGGUGAGGUACAAAUGAAAUGAAAAUUAAGGCUUUGGUUUGAUCUGCAGUGUUUGCCAUCAUUCUACAAAUCCAUUUACCCGUUUGCCCUCGCUCAUAGCGGCGUAGUGGUUAGCAAGUGUGACGAAUGCAUACCGUAUUUUACGGACGAAAAGUCGCAGUUUUUUUCAUAGUCAGGAGCGACUUAUGUGCAGAGGUGGGUAGUAA